CGGUACACACCGCGAUGAGUCCUGAGUUCGUGCACACGCAUAUGUGUGUACUGAUACCACCAGGAUGGCAAAGAUGAUUACUGGAUUUCCUCUGAAACGGAUCGGCUUUUCACAUGCAAGAAUCGCUUCCACCAGCAAAGUUCUGCUGUUGCGCGAUGCGGUGGCUCGCUCCUAGGGUCUCAAAACGACGGGAAGGUGAACCGGCUAUGAAGUAAGGCCAUCUUCGCAGGGGACGAACAUGGGCUGAGGGACCAGCAUGAGCGUGUGGCCCUGGAAGGUGGAGGUGGAGGGGGGUGUAACCAUGCGAUCAGAUGGACUUCUAUCCGGGCACAUGCUGCACCUGCAUCUGCAAGGCCAAAAAACGUGAGCAUCUCAUGAUUCCCCCCCACACUAUGGGACCACCUGCUGUCACCUAUCAGCUCUACAGCAUAUGUGAAUGUGUAGCAGGAACGUGGGGGAAGCCGGGGUCGUCUGGGGGGGGCAAGGCCACGCCUCCCUGCAGCGACAGCGGGAUGAUUUGCGCCAAGUUCAGCAGCAGCCUGCCCACCAAGGCCAUCGGGCACAGGGUUCGAGUGGUGCUGUGCCCAUUGCGGGCGCGACAUUGUGACAUUGUAGCUGUUGUGUGCAAACAAUAAAUGGUCUGGAACACG